rnacentral:rRNA from 1 species
UAAUACAGAGGGUGCGAGCGUUAAUCGGAGUUACUGGGCGUAAAGGGCGCGUAGGCGGUUAUGUAUGUGUGAUGUGAAAGCCCCGGGCUUAACCUGGGAAGUGCAUCGCAAACUGCAAGACUAGAGUAUAUGAGAGGGUGUCGGAAUUUCCGGUGUAGCGGUGAAAUGCGUAGAGAUCGGAAGGAACGUCGAUGGCGAAGGCAGACACCUGGCAUAAUACUGACGCUGAGGCGCGAAAGCGUGGGGAGCGAACAGGAUUAGAUACCCUGGUAGUCCACGCUGUAAACGAUGAGAACUAGAUGUUGAUUGGGGAACCAAGCAGUAUCGAAGCUAACGCGAUAAGUUCUCCGCCUGGGAAGUACGGCCGCAAGGUUG